AGCAGCCGCGGUAAUUCCAGCUCCAAUAGCGUAUAUUAAAGUUGUUGCAGUUAAAAAGCUCGUAGUUGAAUUUCGGGAUUAGUACGCUGGUCAUGCCUUUGGUAUGUACUGGUGUUACUGGUUCCUACCUUCUGAAGAACCGUUAUGUCAUUAAUUUGGUGUGGCGGGGAAUCAGGACUGUUACUUUGAAAAAAUUAGAGUGUUUAAAGCAGGCUCGCGCUUGAAUACAUUAGCAUGGAAUAAUGAAAUAGGACGUUGAUCCUAUUUUGUUGGUUUCUAGGAUUGACGUAAUGAUUAAUAGGGAUAGUUGGGGGCAUUAGUAUUCAAUUGUCAGAGGUGAAAUUCUUGGAUUUAUUGAAGACUAACUACUGCGAAAGCAUUUGCCAAGGAUGUUUUCAUUAAUCAAGAACGAAAGUUAGGGAUCGAAGACGAUCAGAUACCGUCGUAGUCUUAACCAUAAACUAUGCCGACUAGGGAUCGGAUGAUGUUUAAUUUUUAUGACUUCAUUCGGCGCCUUACG
rnacentral:rRNA from 1 species